AUGGAGGGCGCGGCGCAGUCCAUUGUGAGCAAUGUUGGGCAGCUGGUGGCCAAAGAGUUCUGGCUGCUCCGCGGCAUCGGCGGGGAGGUCAUUGAGCUGAGGGACGAGCUGGCCACCAUGAACGCCCUCCUCAUGCAGUCUGAAGACGAUGAGCGUGAAGUGGUGGACCACGUCGUCCGGGAGUGGAUGAAGCAGGUGCGGGAGCUCGCAUGUGACGCCGACGACUGCGUCGAUCUCUACAUAUUCCGCAUCAAGCGCCGUCCAAGCGACGGCUUCUUCGUCAAGUCCAGGCGCCUGCUUACGACGCUUUAUCCUCGCCGUCUGCUCGCCGGCGACAUCAGAGCCCUCCGCUCCCGAGCUAUAGCCAUUAGCGAGCGCCAUGCUCGUUACAGCUCUAGCCGCACGGUACAAGACCCCUAUCUUUCUUCACAUGCCCCUGCCCCGGCAGUGACGGGCCAGUCCACACAAAGGCUUCGCCCUGGCCGUGCCGACGCCAAUGACCCUGAUGAGUUCGUGGGCGUCGAAGAGCUCAACACACUGAUCAACAUGGUGGAAGGCGAAAAGGAUGACGGCCAGCUUAAUGUUUUCUCCAUCGUUGGGUUCGGAGGGCUCGGCAAAACUACGCUCGCCUUUGAAGUUUUCCGGCAGCUGAAGACCAAGUUCCAAUGCCAGGCACAGGUGUCCGUGUCUCGGGCGUUUGACAGCAGCAAGGACCUGCGGGGGCUGCUGAAACUCGUGUUUCAGCAGAUUUUGAAGGUGAAUGAUGAAGGCAUCGAGAUGGAGAAACUCGAUUCCGUGGGUAACAUCGACGAAAUGGAUGUGAAUGUGCUGACCAACAAGCUCAAGGAACAUCUCGAGGGCAAGAGGUACCUCAUUGUGCUCGACGAUGUAUGGACAGUAGCUGUGUGGGCUGCAAUCCGGUCCAAAUUGCCAGAAAGCACAUGCGGCAGCAUAAUUAUUGUGACAACUCGGAUAGAUAGUGUGGCGCAAGCAUGCAGUGGAGCAAGUGUAUGUGAAGACCACAUAUACCAUAUGAAGCCACUCAGCUGCGAGGACUCGAAGAAGUUGUUUCUAAGGAGAGUAUUUGGCUUUGAGGAAUGCUCUUUCCCAAGGGAGCUGGAAGAUGAACUUCACUAUGUUUUGAAAAAAUGCAGCGGGCAUCCGUUGGCCAUUGUUAGCAUUGGAAGUCUUUUGGCAAACUAUAGAAGUCCAGAUAGCAAAGGUACAUGGGAAUACAUUCGUAGAUCAAUGGGUUCUCAUAUACAUAUACUGAACGACCCAACCCCUGACGGAUUGAGGAAGAUCAUCACCGUUAGCUUUCACCACCUGCCUCGUGACCUCAAGCGUUGCAUGAUGUAUCUUUGCAUUUUCCCGGAGAAUUAUCUGAUCAGCAAAAACCGGCUCUUGAAAAGAUGGAUUGCAGAAGGAUUGAUACCUGAGAAGCAGGGGCUUACUUUGAUGGAGACUGCCGAGUCCUACUACAAUGAGCUAGUGAAUAGGGGCAUGAUUGAUCAAGCUGGCUGCAUAGUUACCUACUGUAAUAGGAUGGAUAUGUGUCGGGUGCAUGACAUUAUGCUUGAGGUUAUGGCGUCCAAAUCCCUAGAACUUAACUUUGUUAGCUUGGUAGGCAUUCAGUAUGAAGCAAUGUCAUAUGAUAUUGUUCGUCGUCUUUCCAUUCACGGCGCAGAUGGGGCGAAUGGCAUUGAGGGGAUGAAUGUGCAGCAUGUCCGAUCACUGAGCACAUUUCAGUCUGAAGGCCACAAGUUGUUGCUAGAUCAACUAGGAAAGUUCAAGCUGCUGAGGGUACUUGAUCUGGAAGACUGUAAGGACCUAAAAAACAAGCAUUUAAGGUACAUAUGCAAGAUGUACCUUCUUAAGUUCUUGAGCUUGAGGGGUACAGAUAUCAGUAUGAUGCCUCGUGAAGUCUGUGAUCUAGAGCAUUUGCAAACACUUGAUGUCGGUGACACUCUCCUCGGCACGCUUCCCAACACUAUGACAAAGCUGAUCAAACUUGAGCAGCUGAUGUUCUCCAACAGAGAAAGGCUGUUGACCCUAUGGAUACUUCCCAAAGGAAUCUCAAAGAUGAAGGCAUUGCGUGAGGUGAGUAGAGUAGCCAUCGAAAAUGUUGAGGUUGCCAUAGAGAUCGGUGAUCUACAACAACUAGAACUGAUAUUUGUUUAUGUCAACAAAAGUUCCAAGCAGAGCAAGGAUAUUAUACGAGAGCUAAACCUCUCCCUAAGCAAGACAGCAUACCUUCAGUGGCUCCACGUGGGAGAACUGCGAGAUGUCCACACCAACAACAUGGACAAUCAUCCCCUGGACCUCGACAUGCCAUCACAGCUUCUGCGGUACCUUGGCUUUGGUGGAUUUAUUCCUCGGAUUCCUGACUGGGUCGGUUCACUUGCAUUUCUUGCCGAGUUCACUAUUUCAAGCACAAAACUUGCUGGCAACCAACCAUUUGAGGUCCUUUGUAAAGCUCGAAACCUGAAUCACAUCACAUUUCAGAUGGAUUUUUACAUUGACAAAGAUCUGGUUGCACGGAGUGCCCACAAGUUUUCUGCGCUCAAGAGCGUAAGAGUCAUCUCAGCUGCUGAAACUCCCGAAAUGUUCAGUUUUGAGGAAGAUUCCAUGACACAGCUCGAGAUACUUGAGGUGGACUUCGGAGACUGGCAGAAGAGCAUUAUUGGGAUCGAGCACUUGACGAACCUUAAACAGGUGCGACUCAGUGGUAGCAGCAAUAAUGCUUCACUGAUGGAAGUAGCAGAAAAGCUGAAAGAAGAGAGUGAUAGACGAGGCAAGUCCGACGACUACAAUCAGCGCCCCUUCACGGUUGGAGUGAGAUACAACUAA
rnacentral:rRNA from 1 species